rnacentral:rRNA from 1 species
AUCUUUCGCAAUGGGCGAAAUCCUGACGCAGCUAUGUAGCGUGAAUGAUGAAGGUCUUAUGAUUGUAAAAUUCUUUUACCGGGGACGAUAAUGACGGUACCCGGAGAACAAGCCCCGGCUAACUUCGCGCCCUCAGACGCGGUAAUACGAAGGGGGCUAGCGUCGCUCGGAAUUACUGGGCGUAAAGGGCGCGUAGGCGGACAUUUAAGUCAGGGGUGAAAUCCCAGAGCUCAACUCUGGAACUGCCUUUGAUACUGGGUGUCUUGAGUGUGAGAGAGGUAUGUGGAACUCCGAGUGUAGAGGUGAAAUUCGUAGAUAUUCGGAAGAACACCAGUGGCGAAGGCGACAUACUGGCUCAUUACUGACGCUGAGGCGCGAAAGCGUGGGGAGCAAACAG